ACUAUCGUUAACUGAAUACAUAGGUUAACGAGGCGAACCGGGGGAACUGAAACAUCUAAGUACCCCGAGGAAAAGAAAUCAACCGAGAUUCCCCCAGUAGCGGCGAGCGAACGGGGAGCAGCCCAGAGUCUGAAUCAGCUUGUGUGUUAGUGGAACGGUCUGGAAAGUCCGACGGUACAGGGUGAUAGUCCCGUACACCAAAAUGCACAGGUUGUGAACUCGAAGAGUAGGGCGGGACACGUGGUAUCCUGUCUGAAUAUGGGGGGACCAUCCUCCAAGGCUAAAUACUCCUGACUGACCGAUAGUGAACCAGUACCGUGAGGGAAAGGCGAAAAGAACCCCGGCGAGGGGAGUGAAAAAGAACCUGAAACCGUGUACGUACAAGCAGUGGGAGCACCUUCGGGUGUGACUGCGUACCUUUUGUAUAAUGGGUCAGCGACUUAUAUUCUGUAGCAAGGUUAACCGUAUAGGGGAGCCGCAGGGAAACCGAGUCUUAACUGGGCGUUAAGUUGCAGGGUAUAGACCCGAAACCCGGUGAUCUAGCCAUGGGCAGGUUGAAGGUUGGGUAACACUAACUGGAGGACCGAACCGACUAAUGUUGAAAAAUUAGCGGAUGACUUGUGGCUGGGGGUGAAAGGCCAAUCAAACCGGGAGAUAGCUGGUUCUCCCCGAAAGCUAUUUAGGUAGCGCCUCGUGAACUCAUCUUCGGGGGUAGAGCACUGUUUCGGCUAGGGGGUCAUCCCGACUUACCAACCCGAUGCAAACUACGAAUACCGAAGAAUGUUAUCACGGGAGACACACGGCGGGUGCUAACGUCCGUCGUGAAGAGGGAAACAACCCAGACCGCCAGCUAAGGUCCCAAAGUCAUGGUUAAGUGGGAAACGAUGUGGGAAGGCACAGACAGCCAGGAUGUUGGCUUAGAAGCAGCCAUCAUUUAAAGAAAGCGUAAUAGCUCACUGGUCGAGUCGGCCUGCGCGGAAGAUGUAACGGGGCUAAACCAUGCACCGAAGCUGCGGCAGCGACACGAUGUGUUGUUGGGUAGGGGAGCGUUCUGUAAGCCUGCGAAGGUGACCUGUGAGGGUUGCUGGAGGUAUCAGAAGUGCGAAUGCUGACAUAAGUAACGAUAAAGCGGGUGAAAAGCCCGCUCGCCGGAAGACCAAGGGUUCCUGUCCAACGUUAAUCGGGGCAGGGUGAGUCGACCCCUAAGGCGAGGCCGAAAGGCGUAGUCGAUGGGAAACAGGUUAAUAUUCCUGUACUUGGUGUUACUGCGAAGGGGGGACGGAGAAGGCUAUGUUAGCCGGGCGACGGUUGUCCCGGUUUAAGCAUGUAGGCUGGUUAUCCAGGCAAAUCCGGAUAAUCAAGGCUGAGGUGUGAUGACGAGGCACUACGGUGCUGAAGUAACAAAUGCCCUGCUUCCAGGAAAAGCCUCUAAGCAUCAGGUAACAUCAAAUCGUACCCCAAACCGACACAGGUGGUCAGGUAGAGAAUACCAAGGCGCUUGAGAGAACUCGGGUGAAGGAACUAGGCAAAAUGGUGCCGUAACUUCGGGAGAAGGCACGCUGGUGUGUAGGUGAAGUCCCUGCGGAUGGAGCUGAGACCAGUCGAAGAUACCAGCUGGCUGCAACUGUUUAUUAAAAACACAGCACUGUGCAAACACGAAAGUGGACGUAUACGGUGUGACGCCUGCCCGGUGCCGGAAGGUUAAUUGAUGGGGUUAUCCGUAAGGAGAAGCUCUUGAUCGAAGCCCCGGUAAACGGCGGCCGUAACUAUAACGGUCCUAAGGUAGCGAAAUUCCUUGUCGGGUAAGUUCCGACCUGCACGAAUGGCGUAAUGAUGGCCAGGCUGUCUCCACCCGAGACUCAGUGAAAUUGAACUCGCUGUGAAGAUGCAGUGUACCCGCGGCAAGACGGAAAGACCCCGUGAACCUUUACUAUAGCUUGACACUGAACAUUGAGCCUUGAUGUGUAGGAUAGGUGGGAGGCUUUGAAGCGUGGACGCCAGUCUGCGUGGAGCCAACCUUGAAAUACCACCCUUUAAUGUUUGAUGUUCUAACGUGGGCCCCUAAUCGGGGUUGCGGACAGUGUCUGGUGGGUAGUUUGACUGGGGCGGUCUCCUCCCAAAGCGUAACGGAGGAGCACGAAGGUUAGCUAAUCCUGGUCGGACAUCAGGAGGUUAGUGCAAUGGCAUAAGCUAGCUUGACUGCGAGCGUGACGGCGCGAGCAGGUGCGAAAGCAGGUCAUAGUGAUCCGGUGGUUCUGAAUGGAAGGGCCAUCGCUCAACGGAUAAAAGGUACUCCGGGGAUAACAGGCUGAUACCGCCCAAGAGUUCAUAUCGACGGCGGUGUUUGGCACCUCGAUGUCGGCUCAUCACAUCCUGGGGCUGAAGUAGGUCCCAAGGGUAUGGCUGUUCGCCAUUUAAAGUGGUACGCGAGCUGGGUUUAGAACGUCGUGAGACAGUUCGGUCCCUAUCUGCCGUGGGCGCUGGAGAAUUGAGGGGGGCUGCUCCUAGUACGAGAGGACCGGAGUGGACGCAUCACUGGUGUUCGGGUUGUCAUGCCAAUGGCACUGCCCGGUAGCUAAAUGCGGAAGAGAUAAGUGCUGAAAGCAUCUAAGCACGAAACUUGCCCCGAGAUGAGUUCU
rnacentral:rRNA from 1 species